CCCCUCAGUCAAGGUCUAUUGACUUUGAAACUUUGCUUAGAUUUCAUGUAUUAGUUUGUGAUUGGGUCAGUUUAUGGGGAACCACUAGUGGUAGGUCAAUGAUAAUUGGUAUGCAGUUGUAUAAGCAUUAGCACAUCUUAUUUCCAUGGGGAAUAUUUGGUCCUUACCCCUCAGUCAUGGUCUAUUGACUUUGAAACUUUUACUUAGUUUACAUGUAUUAGUUUGUGAUUAGGUCAGUUUAAGAUGAACCACUAAUGUUAAGUCAAUGAUAUUGGAAGUUUCAUUUCCAUGGAGAUUAUAUAACCCCCACCCCCUAAUUAUGGUUCAUUGACUUUGAAACUUUUACAUAGUUUACAAGUUAAUGUUUGUGUUUAGGUUUGUUUAAAGGGAACAACUUAUGAAAAGUCAAUGGUAUUUGGUUUGCAGUUGUAUUAGCAUUGGCACAUCUCAUUUCCAUGGAGAUUGUUUAGCCCUGUACCUUCAGUCAUGGUUCAUUGACUUUGAAUAUUUGCAUAACUUACAUGUUAAAGUAUUGCUAUUUUAAUU